CCCUUAGAUGUUCUGGGCCGCACGCGCGCUACACUGACGAAUGCAACGAGCUUAUAACCUUGGCCGAAAGGUCUGGGUAAUCUCCAAAUUUCGUCGUGAUGGGGAUAGAUUAUUGCAAUUAUUAAUCUUCAACGAGGAAUGCCUAGUAAGCGCAAGUCAUCAGCUUGCGUUGAUUACGUCCCUGCCCUUUGUACACACCGCCCGUCGCUCCUACCGAUUGAAUGGUCCGGUGAAGCGUUCGGACCGUGGCCUUUGGACGGUUCGCCGUCUGUUGGCUGCGGGAAGUUCGUUGAACCUUAUCAUUUAGAGGAAGGAGAAGUCGUAACA
rnacentral:rRNA from 1 species